GUGUGGUAGGGGAGACGGAAUUCCUGGUGUAGCGGUGAAAUGCGCAAUAUCAGGAGGAACACCGAUGGCGAAGGCAGGUCUCUGGGCCAUUACUGACGCUGAGAAGCGAAAGCAUGGGUAGCGAACAGGAUUAGAUACCCUGGUAGUCCAUGCCGUAAACGUUGGGCGCUGGGUGUGGGGUCCAUUCCACGGAUUCUGCGCCGUAGCUAACGCAUUAAGCGCCCCGCCUGGGGAGUACGGCCGCAAGGCUAAAACUCAAAGGAAUUGACGGGGGCCCGCACAAGCGGCGGAGCAUGCGGAUUAAUUCGAUGCAACGCGAAGAACCUUACCAAGGCUUGACAUACACCGGAAAAGUGCAGAGAUGUACUCCCCUUUUUGGUCGGUGUACAGGUGGUGCAUGGUUGUCGUCAGCUCGUGUCGUGAGAUGUUGGGUUAAGUCCCGCAACGAGCGCAACCCUCGUCGCAUGUUGCCAGCACGUAAUGGUGGGGACUCAUGUGAGACUGCCGGGGUCAACUCGGAGGAAGGUGGGGAUGACGUCAAAUCAUCAUGCCCCUUAUGUCUUGGGCUUCACGCAUGCUACAAUGGCCGGUACAGAGUGCUGCGAUACCGUGAGGUGGAGCGAAUCACUUAAAGCCGGUCUCAGUUCGGAUUGGGGUCUGCAACUCGACCCCAUGAAGUCGGAGUCGCUAGUAAUCGCAGAUCAGCAACGCUGCGGUGAAUACGUUCCCGGGCCUUGUACACACCGCCCGUCAAGUCACGAAAGUUGGUAACACCCGAAGCCGGUGGCCUAACCCUUGUGGGGGGAGCCGUCGAAGU
rnacentral:rRNA from 1 species